rnacentral:rRNA from 1 species
CAGCAGCCGCGGUAAUACGUAGGUGGCAAGCGUUGUCCGGAAUUAUUGGGCGUAAAGCGCGCGCAGGCGGAUAGGUCAGUCUGUCUUAAAAGUUCGGGGCUUAACCCCGUGAUGGGAUGGAAACUGACAAUCUAGAGUAUCGGAGAGGAAAGUGGAACUCCUAGUGUAGCGGUGAAAUGCGUGGAUAUUAGGAAGAACACCAGUGGCGAAGGCGACUUUCUGGACGAAAACUGACGCUGAGGCGCGAAAGCCAGGGGAGCGAACGGGAUUAGAUACCCCCGUAGUCCCUGUCUCUUAUACA